rnacentral:rRNA from 1 species
UACAGAGGUCUCAAGCGUUGUUCGGAUUCAUUGGGCGUAAAGGGUGUGUAGGUGGCGCCGUAAGUCGGGUGUGAAAUUUCGGAGCUUAACUCCGAAACUGCAUUCGAUACUGCGGUGCUUGAGGACUGGAGAGGAGACUGGAAUUCAUGGUGUAGCAGUGAAAUGCGUAGAGAUCAUGAGGAAGACCAGUGGCGAAGGCGGGUCUCUGGACAGUUCCUGACGCUGAGGACGAAGGCCAGGGGAGCAAACGGG